rnacentral:rRNA from 1 species
CGGGGGGGGGCAAGCGUUGUUCGGAAUUACUGGGCGUAAAGGGCGCGCAGGCGGGCGAGACAGUCUUUCGUGAAAUCCCACGGGCUCAACCGUGGAACUGCGGGAGAUACUUCUCGUCUUGAGUUCGGGAGAGGAGUGUGGAAUUCCCAGUGUAGCGGUGAAAUGCGUAGAUAUUGGGAGGAACACCGGUGGCGAAGGCGGCACUCUGGACCGAUACUGACGCUGAGGCGCGAAAGCUAGGGGAGCAAACGGGAUUAGAUACCCCGGUAGUCCUAGCUGUAAACGCUGAGCACUUGGUGUAGCGGGUAUCGACCCCUGCUGUGCCGAAGCUAACGCAUUAAGUGCUCCGCCUGGGGAGUACGGUCGCAAAGGCUG